GUGGGGAAUCUUGCGCAAUGGGCGAAAGCCUGACGCAGCGACGCCGCGUGGGUGACGAAGGCCUUCGGGUUGUAAAGCCCUGUGGGGCGGGACGACGGACCUGGGUGGAAAUACUGCCUGGGGGAGACGGUACCGCCUUAGCAAGCACCGGCUAACUCUGUGCCAGCAGCCGCGGUAAGACAGAGGGUGCAAACGUUGCUCGGAAUGACUGGGCGUAAAGCGCGCGUAGGUGGCCACGCACGUCGGGUGUGAAAGCCCGGGGCUCAACCCCGGAAGUGCACUCGAUACGACGUGGCUGGAGUUCUGUAGAGGAGAGCGGAAUUCUCGGUGUAGAGGUGAAAUUCGUAGAUAUCGAGAGGAACACCAGUGGCGAAGGCGGCUCUCUGGACAGGGACUGACACUGAGGCGCGAAAGCGUGGGGAGCAAACAGGAUUAGAAACCCGAGUAGUCC
rnacentral:rRNA from 1 species